rnacentral:rRNA from 1 species
UACGUAGGGGGCAAGCGUUGUCCGGAAUCAUUGGGCGUAAAGAGCGUGUAGGCGGCCCGAUAAGUCCGCCGUGAAAGUCCAGGGCUCAACCCUGGAAUGCCGGUGGAAACUGUCGGGCUGGAGUCCGGAAGAGGCGAGUGGAAUUCCUGGUGUAGCGGUGAAAUGCGCAGAUAUCAGGAGGAACACCAAUGGCGAAGGCAGCUCGCUGGGACGGUACUGACGCUGAGACGCGAAGGCGUGGGGAGCGAACGGG